GAUGGACUGACAACUGACCGAGCAACUGGGAGCUGGGAGCAUGCUGUCCCUGAGGAAAUGGCCAUUGAGAUGCCACUUGCAAAGUGGCAUUCUGUUUAUUCAGGGCUAAAAAUGGUGUUGACGGUGAGCACCUCCCCAGGAGGACUCAACCUGAGCAUUUUUCUUUGAGUUCUUGCGUGAACACAAAUGGUCGGUCUAUCAGCCUGAGUUUUCACAUGGCCCAGCACCAAACAGCGUUUCCAUUCCUUUCAAACCGUAUAGCCGCCCAACUGUGGUGGACAGACGGAGGGAAAGACCAACAGCUGCUGUCUUGAGCAUCCCCUCCGGGAGGACCAGGUACGGAAGUGACUCAUGGUCUUAUCCAAGAGCCACCUUUGACAUCCGGUGACAGCAUCACACCAUGUUCUGUGCCUGGAAACCAGGUGCUACCGGAUGAAGCCAGCCUGGAACCUGAGCCACAGCUUGAGAAGUCAUCCUGUCUUCAGUGUGGGUCACACAGUUGAUUGCCACCGGUGACAGAUAAACAUUGCCCCUUGCUUGUCCACAGAAGCCAUCUCUGCUGUUUUACUUGGGGGCUGAAGAUAAAGCAGAGGAAUGCACAUCCCAGCCAGGGCCCCCUGGGCUGUCGAAAACGUGUGAUUGAUCUGGGAGGCCGAACAAUAGCUACACUUACCAACAGGCAUUUCCAUCCCGGAUGUGGGCAGAUGGUAGAGGACAGUGGCUCUGGCCACCUGUCCGGAGGCGUUGGAGCAGCACUCCGUGUCCAGAGCGCACUGGCUUAGCUUCAUUCACACUCUCCAGCAGUUUGGCAUCUAGUACGGAACUUCCCAAGGAAAGAUAAGCUGGAGGAAACGGGAAAUACACAAACAAGACAGAAAACCGGGCUGGCCGUGGGCAGGAAAGAGGCGAGGUGUGCAGACACCCCCACCCCCAAGGACAGCUGCUCCUCACUGUGGUGACACCUGUGCCUCAGCUUCCUCAACUGUGAGUGGAGGUUGUAGUUGGAAUGUGAUCCUGAUCUGCCAGAAUGUGAGCAAGCAGCCUGGUAGUUCUGCUACCACAUGAGCUGGUAGCUCCAUGAACUCUGCCACGCCUUCUCCACCACACUGGGCUGACUGCCGUGAGCCACAGCAAAUCCUUCCUACCUGAAGUUGCUUCUUUUGAGUAUUUUAUCACAGCAGAGAAAAGCAACUGAUAUACCGGAGUAAAUAUGUCAGUCUCCAUAAAGCGUUUACGGCAAGGGCCAGCUUCCCAGACCCUCCGCAAACUGUGCAAGCCUGAAGGCAAGCGCUGGCCCUGAGCCGCCCCAUCUCCCCACCGCAGGAGAAUGUCUAUCCGAAACACUGCAGCUUCUUUUUCCUUUUUAAAUCCAUUUUUACUUUAUUGCAUUUUUGAGAUUAUUCACUCUAGGUAGCCCAGGUUAGCUUCAAAUGCGCUAUCCUCCUGCCUCAGCCUCCCAUGUGUUCGGAUGACGGGUGAGUGCUACCACACCUGGCCUGAAGGUUGCAUCUUCUACAAAAGGACACAAUCACAAUUUGACCAAGCCUGGAGUGGACUGCCAGGCCUGAUUCUGAGGGCCUGGGCUGUGGUGUCCUGGUAGCGGAUUGUGUUAGUCUAAGCAAGCAGGCCACUGUUAGGAGUUUGACUUGAUCUCUUGAUCCCAGAAGUGUCUGAGCUUUUGUUUGCUCUGUUGGCAGGAAAAGUAUUUGACAUUCACAAGCACAGCCAAGAUCAAAAGCAGCUGAAGCGACGUGUGUCUCUUCAGUGGUCAAGAGUUGAGCUAAAAAUGUGAAAAACGACUCUUGUUCUGUAUGAGGGGCUGGAAUCUUCUUCCUCUUUCUCCACCCUAAGGAUAAUCAAAAGCCACGCAUCCAACAUUUAGCCAAAAUGUAUCCUCACUGAUGCUGUAAAACAGAUGAAAUUUAAAUUUCUCUUAAAACUACAUGAUACUGUGCAAGACAGAAGAAAAGCAGUUGUUCAAAUAUGGAAUGGGAUGAACUCAACUAGAAAUCACAGGUUAGCAAGGUAAGAACAUGGGGUCAGAGAUGGCCACAAGCCGAGAAUCAGUUGGCAUUAAAGGAGUUGGGGUAGGGGCCAGCCUGUGAGACGGCUCAGAGUCUGUGGAUAAAGCUCACAUUUCACCCCAGAACCUGCAUGAAGGUCCAAGGCAAGAACACACUCCAUAAAGAUAUUCUCUGACACCCACGUGUAAUUUCAUUUCAUAAAUAAAUAAAAUGAAGACAAACAUAAAACCUGAGCCAGAGGAGAAAAGCAUCACCACUGCCGUUUGGGAGGCUCAGAGGUUCUGUAUCAGAGAACAGCUAAAUGAAGCAGAAUUGUCUCACAAUGACAUGGCUGGCUGUGAGGCUCUUGGUCACCUUUUCAAGACCAUGAAGCAUUUUCAAUAGAUGUAGAGGACUCUGUGGAGGUCUCUUUUCAAUAAAACCAUGCUUCUUAGGGAAGAUUCAGAACCUCCGAACCCUCAUGUGAACAAAUAUAUGUCAUGGGUUCAGAUCAUCUGCAGGGGUCACAUCAGGCACUAAGGACCGUGCACAGGUGGACACUACCUCUGCUGUCCCUCUGGAAGAUACUUCUGACCAAGACACUGACCACCGUGAGAUUUGGGUUUUGGGUUAACAAAAUAUGGAGGACUUGAAAAAUAGCACUGGCUACUAAACAAUACACACACACACACACACACACACACGCACACGCACACGCACACACGCACACGCAUGCACACACGCACACACACAUGCAUGCACACACGCACGCAUGCAGACACACAAACACACACACAUGAGUGCACACAUGUGCACACACAGGGCAGAGACAGGAGUGACCACCAUACUUUUAAAGUUCUAAGACUUGACUAUUUAAGAUAAAUUUUCAGAUGGCUUAUUACAGCCCAGAAGUUUAUUUCAUGAGGCGUAUUUUUCUUACAUCAAAUAUCUGGGUGCAACAGCAAAUGCCUGCUGUCCCAGAUGCUUCAGAGGUUGAGGCAGGAGGAUCACCCCCCCCCAACCUGAGAAACAAAACCAAAAAUACAUAGACGCAUAACAGCCAACACACCAGUCAAACAAACAACUUGACUCUCAGCAAAGUGAUGAGUGGGACGACAAGGUUGGGUGACUCCAGGGCAUCUUCCUCACCAAGACCUCACCAUGUUGGAUCACAUGGUGUUAGCAGCAGACAAGCCAGAACUAGGGUCAGUUGGCCAUGCUCAUGGAAAAUGCCAGCUGUAAAAAUCUGCUCUGGUAUCCACAUCAUCGGGUUAAAAUGGAAAGAAGUGUUAGAAUCGGGCUUGGAGAGGCUGUGACCUGUGACUGGAAUCCUCAUCCAGAGUGUGUGGAUCCUGUGGAUGCAGAAUCCGUGGCAUGUUGUGCAGAUGUUCUGAGACGAAGAUGUGUCACAACGAAGACUCCACUAAACAGUGAGACACUGAUGGGAACCACUCUUCGGGUGACUAACAGGCUGCCAUAGUUCCUCUUUUCCAUCAUUGGGAUGGAGUCCAUGACAGAAGCAUGUUGAGGAGGGGACUCACAGUUUAGAAGGGACAGUGUGGCAUGGUGUGGGGAAGACAUGACCACUGUAGUGUGUCAGUUCCUGGGAGCAGUGGUUUGUGGCAGCUGGUCACAUCAUGGUAGAUCAGCAAGCAUAUACAAAGGACUGAACCAGAAGAAAGAUGACCUUCAAGGCUUGCCCACAGCCAUAGUCCCAAAGGCUCCACAACCUCCCAAAACAGUGCUCCCAGCUGAAGGCCAGACAUUGAAACACAUGAGCAUGGCAAGGACCUUGUACUCCUCAGACUCGGCAGCCCUGGCUGUUGUAGACACUGAAAAGCUGAAACAUCUUUGUUCAUUGUCUCUUGCCCCUCUCUCUUCCCUUCCUUCCUUCCUUCCUUCCUUCCUUCCUUCCUUCCUUCCUUCCUUCCUUCCUUCCUUCCUUCCUUCUUUUCUUCCUUUGUGGUACUGGGAAUUGGUUGAACCUGGGCCUCGACAGUAUUAGGCAAAUAUUCUACUACUGAACUAUAACCUGCUCCCAAAC